ACGAACAAGGCCAUCUCCAUCCGACCAUCUACAUCCGACCACCUUCAUCCGACCAUCUCCCGGUGUCGUCACCGCCACCGCCCCCUCAUGCCCGUCUCUUCACUCAAAACCCUCACAAAAUGUCUUUGCUUUCGCAUUAAUUUUCUCUUUGGAAGGAGCGAGCGAAGAAUUUUUUUUUUUAUGGAGGAAGGUCUUGCACUAAUAAUCGAUCGAUCUACUGUAAUGAUGAAGCUACGUACCAAACAAGUGAUUGAUAUUUGGUGCAGCUUCUUAUUUGCGUGACUGGACAAAUUUGGCUGCAACUCAUGAUAAUCUCACCAAUUCAAUAAGUCUAACUUAUCCCUAUAUAUUUUUGUCUGAUUCUUUUAUUGUUUUCCAUUACCUGAAUUAUCAAUUCCUAGCUUUUAAUUCUUGUCAUUAAGAGCUUUCUAAGAGCUAUGGUCUACAAACUUUUUUUUUUUUUUUUGUUUACUUGUGAAUUGAUUUGCAUGCAAAAUCUUAUUUGGUAAGUUGAGUAAUUUGGGAGAAUUGGAUUAGUUUUUAUUGAUAUUAGUUUAAAUGACUUCAAAGUUAUACUUUGAUUGAUUCUCGUUUUGUUUAUGGUUUGAGUAAUUGUACUACCUGGACAAUCCUUCUUUGUAAUAUUACAACAAUCACUACUGUUGUCACAAUUGUAGAGAUUCUUAAGAAUAAUGGGCUAGCUAUGUAAAAGAAAAUAAUCCAUAAUUUUUAAUGUUAAUCUCUCUUAAGGUUGAAAGAGCAUGAUAUCUUUCUUAAGGUUGAAAGGUUUCAUCACCAGUCUUAUCAAACUUAGGAAUAAUAUCUUUGAUUCAUAUGGACUGAAAUUAUUUCUCUUAAUUUUUUUGAUUCACAUAUAAUAAAUUUUAAUUUUGAAGAAGAAAAUGUCUGACUUUAUUUUCUUUUGUCACGUGUUUAUUUAUUUUCUUCUCCAU